AUGGGGAGCAGAAAGAUGCGAAGCGACAGAUUCAAACUGCCAAGAAAAGGUGCUAUCGAAUAAUCUUGUACCCGUACCGCAAACCGACACAGGUAGGCAAGAAGAGAAUUCUAAGACGCGCGGAAGAACCUUUGUUAAGGAACUCGGCAAAAUAAUCCCGUAAGUUAGCGAGAAGGGAUGCCUAAGAAAUUAGGUCGCAGAGAAUAGGCCCAAGCGACUGUUUACCAAAAACACAAGUAUCUGCUAAAUCGAAAGAUGAAGUAUAGGUGCUGACACCUGCCCGGUGCUGGAAGGUCAAGGGGACUUGUUAGAGCAAUCGAAGCAACGAACUUAAGCCCCAGUAAACGGCGGCCGUAACUAUAACGGUCCUAAGGUAGCGAAAUUCCUUGUCGGGUAAGUUCCGACCCGCACGAAAGGUGUAACGAUUUGGGCGCUGUCUCAACAAAGGAUCCGGUGAAAUUGUAGUAGUCGUGAAGAUGCGACUUACCCACGGUAGGACGGAAAGACCCCGUGGAGCUUUACUGCAGGUUGACAUUGAAUUUUGGGAUUAAAUGUACAGGAUAGGUGGGAGACNNNNNNNNNNNNNCUGGUAAUAGGACACUGUCAGUCGGGCAGUUUGACUGGGGCGGUCGCCUCCAAAAAAGUAACGGAGGCGUUCAAAGGUUCGCUCAGAAUGGUUGGAAAUCAUUCAAAGAGUACAAAGGCAAAAGCGAGCUUAACUGCGAGACAUACAGGUCGAGCAGAGACGAAAGUCGGACUUAGUGAUCCGGUGGUACCGAGUGGAAGGGCCAUCGCUCAACGGAUAAAAGCUACCCCGGGGAUAACAGGCUUAUCUCCCCCAAGAGUCCACAUCGACGGGGAGGUUUGGCACCUCGAUGUCGGCUCGUCUCAUCCUGGAGCUGGAGUAGGUUCCAAGGGUUGGGCUGUUCGCCCAUUAAAGAGGCACGCGAGCUGGGUUCAGAACGUCGUGAGACAGUUCGGUCCCUAUCCACCGUGGGCGUGAGAAAUUUGAGAGGAUCUGUCCUUAGUACGAGAGGACCGGGAUGGACAGACCGCUGGUGUACGAGUUGUACUGCCAAGUGCACAGCUCGGUAGCUACGUCUGGAAAGGAUAAGUGCUGAAGGCAUCUAAGCACGAAACCAACCUCGAGAUAAGAUUUCUAUGAGAUUACUUGAAGAAAACAAGAUAGAUAGGUCAGAGGUGUAAAGAUAGUAAUAUCAAAGCUAACUGAUACUAAUAAAUCGAAAACUUGACUGG
rnacentral:rRNA from 1 species